rnacentral:rRNA from 1 species
UCCGCUAGGUGAACCUGCGGAAGGAUCAUUA